rnacentral:misc_RNA from 1 species
AAGUCGUAACAAGGUUUCCGUAGGUGAACCUGCGGAAGGAUCAUUAAAAGAGUUAGGGUCCUAGUGGCCAGCCCACUCCCAAACCCCUCUGUUGUUAAAAACUACCUUGUUGUGUGGGGCCGUUCGGUCUCCGAGCGCGUUAACCUUCGGGUUGGCGAGCGCCCGCCAGAGUCCAACCAAACUCUUGUAUUAAACCAGUCGCUGAGUAUAAAAUUUUAAUUAAAUUAAAA